rnacentral:rRNA from 1 species
GGUUAAGCGACUAAGCGUACACGGUGGAUGCCCUGGCAGUCAGAGGCGAUGAAGGACGUGCUAAUCUGCGAAAAGCGUCGGUAAGGUGAUAUGAACCGUUAUAGCCGGCGAUGUCCGAAUGGGGAAACCCAGUGCAAUUCGUUGCACUAUCGUUUGAUGAAUACAUAGUCAAACGAGGCGAACCGGGGGAACUGAAACAUCUAAGUACCCCGAGGAAAAGAAAUCAACCGAGAUUCCCCCAGUAGCGGCGAGCGAACGGGGAGCAGCCCGGAGUCUGAAUCAGCUUGUGUGUUAGUGGAAGCGUCUGGAAAGUCGCAGGGUACAGGGUGAUACUCCCGUACACUAAAGCACACAGGCUGUGAACUCGAAGAGUAGGGCGGGACACGUGGUAUCCUGUCUGAAUAUGGGGGGACCAUCCUCCAAGGCUAAAUACUCCUGACUGACCGAUAGUGAACCAGUACCGUGAGGGAAAGGCGAAAAGAACCCCGGCGAGGGGAGUGAAAAAGAACCUGAAACCGUGUACGUACAAGCAGUAGGAGCCUCUUUAUGGGGUGACUGCGUACCUUUUGUAUAAUGGGUCAGCGACUUAUAUUCUGUAGCAAGGUUAACCGUAUAGGGGAGCCGCAGGGAAACCGAGUCUUAACUGGGCGUUAAGUUGCAGGGUAUAGACCCGAAACCCGGUGAUCUAGCCAUGGGCAGGUUGAAGGUUGGGUAACACUAACUGGAGGACCGAACCGACUAAUGUUGAAAAAUUAGCGGAUGACUUGUGGCUGGGGGUGAAAGGCCAAUCAAACCGGGAGAUAGCUGGUUCUCCCCGAAAGCUAUUUAGGUAGCGCCUCGUGAAUUCAUCUUCGGGGGUAGAGCACUGUUUCGGCUAGGGGGUCAUCCCGACUUACCAACCCGAUGCAAACUACGAAUACCGAAGAAUGUUAUCACGGGAGACACACGGCGGGUGCUAACGUCCGUCGUGAAGAGGGAAACAACCCAGACCGCCAGCUAAGGUCCCAAAGUCAUGGUUAAGUGGGAAACGAUGUGGGAAGGCCCAGACAGCCAGGAUGUUGGCUUAGAAGCAGCCAUCAUUUAAAGAAAGCGUAAUAGCUCACUGGUCGAGUCGGCCUGCGCGGAAGAUGUAACGGGGCUAAACCAUGCACCGAAGCUGCGGCAGCGACACUAUGUGUUGUUGGGUAGGGGAGCGUUCUGUAAGCCGUUGAAGGUGGCCUGUGAGGGUUGCUGGAGGUAUCAGAAGUGCGAAUGCUGACAUAAGUAACGAUAAUGCGGGUGAAAAACCCGCACGCCGGAAGACCAAGGGUUCCUGUCCAACGUUAAUCGGGGCAGGGUGAGUCGACCCCUAAGGCGAGGCCGAAAGGCGUAGUCGAUGGGAAACAGGUUAAUAUUCCUGUACUCGGUGUUACUGCGAAGGGGGGACGGAGAAGGCUAUGUUGGCCGGGCGACGGUUGUCCCGGUUUAAGCAUGUAGGCGGAUGUUCCAGGUAAAUCCGGAACGUUACUAACGCUGAGGUGUGAUGACGAGGCACUACGGUGCUGAAGUGACAAAUGCCCUGCUUCCAGGAAAAGCCUCUAAGCAUCAGGUAACAUCAAAUCGUACCCCAAACCGACACAGGUGGUCAGGUAGAGAAUACCAAGGCGCUUGAGAGAACUCGGGUGAAGGAACUAGGCAAAAUGGUGCCGUAACUUCGGGAGAAGGCACGCUGAUAUGUAGGUGAAGUGGUUUACCCAUGGAGCUGAAAUCAGUCGAAGAUACCAGCUGGCUGCAACUGUUUAUUAAAAACACAGCACUGUGCAAACACGAAAGUGGACGUAUACGGUGUGACGCCUGCCCGGUGCCGGAAGGUUAAUUGAUGGGGUUAUCCGUAAGGAGAAGCUCUUGAUCGAAGCCCCGGUAAACGGCGGCCGUAACUAUAACGGUCCUAAGGUAGCGAAAUUCCUUGUCGGGUAAGUUCCGACCUGCACGAAUGGCGUAAUGAUGGCCAGGCUGUCUCCACCCGAGACUCAGUGAAAUUGAACUCGCUGUGAAGAUGCAGUGUACCCGCGGCAAGACGGAAAGACCCCGUGAACCUUUACUAUAGCUUGACACUGAACACUGGUCCUUGAUGUGUAGGAUAGGUGGGAGGCUUUGAAGUGUGGACGCCAGUCUGCGUGGAGCCAUCCUUGAAAUACCACCCUUUAAUGGCUGGUGUUCUAACGUGGGCCCCUAAUCGGGGUUGCGGACAGUGUCUGGUGGGUAGUUUGACUGGGGCGGUCUCCUCCUAAAGAGUAACGGAGGAGCACGAAGGUCAGCUAAUCCUGGUCGGACAUCAGGAGGUUAGUGCAAUGGCAUAAGCUGGCUUGACUGCGAGCGUGACGGCGCGAGCAGGUGCGAAAGCAGGUCAUAGUGAUCCGGUGGUUCUGAAUGGAAGGGCCAUCGCUCAACGGAUAAAAGGUACUCCGGGGAUAACAGGCUGAUACCGCCCAAGAGUUCAUAUCGACGGCGGUGUUUGGCACCUCGAUGUCGGCUCAUCACAUCCUGGGGCUGAAGUAGGUCCCAAGGGUAUGGCUGUUCGCCAUUUAAAGUGGUACGCGAGCUGGGUUUAGAACGUCGUGAGACAGUUCGGUCCCUAUCUGCCGUGGGCGCUGGAGAAUUGAGGGGGGCUGCUCCUAGUACGAGAGGACCGGAGUGGACGCAUCACUGGUGUUCGGGUUGUCAUGCCAAUGGCAUUGCCCGGUAGCUAAAUGCGGAAGAGAUAAGUGCUGAAAGCAUCUAAGCACGAAACUUGCCCCGAGAUGAGUUCUCCCUGACUCCUUGAGAGUCCUGAAGGAACGUUGAAGACGACGACGUUGAUAGGCCGGGUGUGUAAGCGCAGCGAUGCGUUGAGCUAACCGGUACUAAUGAACCGUGAGGCUUAACCUU